UACGGGGGGAGCAAGCGUUGUUCGGAUUUACUGGGCGUAAAGGGUGCGUAGACGGCGCGGUAAGUCGGGUGUGAAAUCUCCGAGCUUAACUUGGAAACUGCCAUUGAUACUAUCAGUCUUGAAUAUUGUGGAGGUCAGCGGAAUAUGUCAUGUAGCGGUGAAAUGCUUAGAUAUGACAUAGAACACCAAUUGCGAAGGCAGCUGGCUACACAUAUAUUGACACUGAGGCACGAAAGCGUGGGGAUCAAACAGG
rnacentral:rRNA from 1 species